rnacentral:lncRNA from 1 species
AUGAUCUCGUGAAGAACUACUUUUUUUUGGGAGAGUAGAUAUAGCUUAGUAACUACUAAUAUAAUAUGGUUGAAUUAUCAUGCGACUGCUACCUUUUUUAUUUUUACCAUUAUGUCUUCCCACUUCUUCAGUAGACCAAAAUUGAUAGUAUUGUUUAUCAGAUCACACCUCAUCUUUUGUUUUGUUCUACUCUCAUGAGAUAUCUUAUUUCAGUGAGACUGAAUUGAAUGUUUUUGUUGCGUUUGAAUGUGCAGCUACAAACCUUUUCAAGAUGCUUCUCAAGUACAGGCCUGAGGACAAAGCUGCAAAGAAGGAGCGUCUUGUCAAAAGGGCUCAAGCUGAAGCUGAAGGAAAAACUCCCGAAACAAAGAAACCCAUUAUUGUGAAGUAUGGGCUUAAGCACAUCACUUACCUUAUUGAGCAGGUUUGUUUUGGUCUUGCAAAUUCUCUUCUACUUUCAAGCACAUCUCUUUUCAUCUAUGUAGUAACUAUUUUCCAUUGAUGUCUUUUCAGAACAAAGCUCAGUUAGUAGUGAUUGCUCAUGAUGUGGACCCAAUAGAGUUGGUUGUCUGGCUUCCUGCACUAUGCAGAAAGAUGGAAAUUCCAUACUGCAUUGUGAAGGGGAAAGCACGUUUAGGAUCGGUAAGUAAUACUAAGUCUGUAUUCUCAAUGCUUCUAAACCUAUGAGAUACUGAUAUUGAUGACUGUGCACAGAUCGUGCAUAAGAAAACUGCUUCAGCCUUGUGUUUGACAACCGUGAAGAAUGAAGACAAAAUGGAGUUCAGCAGAGUUUUGGAGGCAAUUAAGGUAUCUAUAUUAAUGGCUAGUUUGGUUUGCAUUUUGCCGUAAAGCUCUUCUAGGAUUCCUGUUGAUGCAUGUUUACUUUUUCAGGCUAACUUCAACGACAAGUACGAAGAGAACAGGAAGAAGUGGGGCGGUGGUAUCAUGGGCUCUAAGUCACAGGCCAGGACCAAGGCCAAAGAAAGAGUUCUAGCCAAGGAAGCUGCCCAGAGAUUGAACUAAGAGCUUGCUGUGAUAUAUACACUGCAAUUUAAUUAGAGAGAUGCUCUGCCAAGUUUUGUAUUUGGUUCACAUGCUUUACAUUGUUAAAGAUAUCAAGUACCUUUAUGUUUGCCUUGACAAUGAAUUAUCAGACAUUUUAUUAAAAAUUUUGUUAGUAUGUGUUUUUAUGGCUCCGAAAUGGCGUUUUUAUUUAAAUUCCUACACUUCACUACAAGUUCUUUCUUGAAAUAGUGCACUUAAAUGGAUGCUCCUCAAGCUCCAUGAUCUGAGUCUGUACUGUGUCAUGUAACACCACCAAAGUAAAUGAAACUUUUAGAGAUAUUGGUAAUCAGUUCAGAAGAAGUUGAGUACUUCAGGGCACAACCAUAAAUAAUUUUGAGUUUAAUUAGCAACUUUUCUAGCGUACAAAAAAAGAACUUCCAAACACUUUCCCCAGAGUUUGCAAUCACAAGCUUUUCGAAAAUCAAAGAAAGUAACAAAAAGUGAUUCAUAAUUCACAAUAAUAGUCAAUCUAUUUGAAAUCCAUCUUGAAGACAAAACAAAGAGUGAACCAUUUGCAAAACAUGGGGGAAAAAAUUAGGAGAAAAUUUAAGUAUAAAUUAUAGGAACCACAUAUUAUAAUUACUUAAUAACAUCCUAUCCCUUCUAGUUUUUUAUUUACCAAAAAUCCCUUAAAAAUGAUGUUUGUGGGAUACAUAACAUUGUGCACGGGAUACAUUAGGUUUGAUACAUUCCAUAUAGCGGGAUACAUAGCAUUGUGCACGGGAUACAUUAGGUUUGAUACAUUCCAUAUAGCGGGAUACAUAGCAUUGUGCACGGGAUACAUUAGGUUUGAUACAUUCCAUAUAGCGGGAUACAUAGCAUUGUGCACGGGAUACAUUAGGUUUGAUACAUUCCAUAUAGCGGGGGGAUACAUAGUGUUGUGCACGGGAUACAUUAGGUUUGAUACAUUCCACAUAACGGGAUACAUAGCGUUGUGCACGGGAUACAUAGGUAAAAUAAGGGAUUUUUGAAAAUUUUGAAAUAAGUUGGGAUAAAUGGAUAUUAAGGUAGGUAAAUGAGUGUAGUUAAGUAAUUUGUCCAAAAAUUUAAUCUAAAGGCAUAGCUUCAAAUUUUAAUUAAAUUUAUAAUCAGAUUUUAUUCCACAUUGAAUAUGACUAUUUCUCAACUAAUUUGCAAAGUGGCUAUUAUUUAAAUAGAUUGUCGAAUGGCUAGGUCGUGCUAAUUUUUCUUAUUAAAAGGAGUCCAUGGCCCAAAUCCAUACAAAUUCGCUUAUGCCUUAUAUAAGAUAGGCUGUUUCUCCGGGUUUAGUCCUCCGGUCGCCGUCUCAAGCAAAAAUGGUAAAGCUCUUAGCCAUGGUUAACUUCCUUCUUCUUCACAACUCCUUUUUGGAAUAUGUAAUCUCAUUUUUGUUUCUUUCUUUGCGGAAAAUGUAGGCUCCAAAGAAGGGUGUUGCAGUAGCAGCAAAGAAGAAGCCAGAGAAGGCGAAGGUGGUGAAUCCACUGUUCGAGAAGCGGCCAAAGCAGUUCGGUAUCGGUGGAGCGCUGCCGCCGAAGAAGGAUGUAACAAGGAAUGUAAGAUGGCCUCGGAAUGUUACCCUACAAAGGAAGAAGAGAAUUCUCAAGAUGCGAUUGAAGGUUCCUCCUGCUCUAAACCAGUUCACCAAAACCCUUGAUAAGAAUCUCGGUCAGUAUACUACUAUUAUCCUAAUCUUUUCCUGUUGCGAUUUUGGUUAAUUAGUUGCUGUUAACAAUUAGACAACCAAUCAUCUAUUUCCAAUUCACUGUAAUUGCAGCUGCUUAUAAUGAUAAUACUUUUUACCUGUAUAUUCAUUUCGCACUAUUUUGUCGAGCUAGUUAGUAUUAUUUGUUUUAGCUUUUAUGUAAGUAUGUUUGAUGCUGCAUGUUAUCAAUGUGAACUUUUACGGAACUUGUGUCAUGACUCACGAGUAGCAAAGAAAUUAUUAGGAAUUGAGUAUUUUAUUGGAAUUUGGAACUAUAAUGUGUUUCCAUAGAUGUUUGAACUAUGCCUCACUUACUUGAAGACAAUUGAAUGAGUUGUUAUUGUGCUUGGCUUGUGGAUUCUUAUAAUUCCAAUUAUGUCACCUCUCGGUGAAAGUUUGCUAAGACCGCGUCUUUUGAUGGGCGAGCAAUAUGGAUGACACCUCCAGGCUCACAUCUCUGAAACUGUUGGCUGGCUUAUUUUAUUAGUUCAUAACCAACUAACCAAGUGGCAGACUGAGCUAUUAUUGUCCCUUGUAGAAACUGUGAAGAAUAUUAUUUUCCCUUUUAGAAGAAGCUUUUUUGGGGAGAAGUACAGUUAAUUCAGAAACUACCACUGUUAUAUUUUGUUGGAAUUCAUCAUGGAAUAAUACAUUUUGCAUAUUUUUAGUAUUAUACAUUUGUGUUGUUUCUUUAAGGGGUGUUAGAUUUGAUUGUACCAAAUCAGAUAGUGAUAUUUGUUCAAGACAAUUUUUUUCCAGCAUGUUGGACUUUACUGUCUCUCUGCCUAUAGAAUCAUGUUAGACUUUACUGUCUCUCUGCCUAUAGAAUCAUGUUGGACUAUAGGGAAAUGAUUAAGUAGUGGUCAGUGUAUUUUUGUCUCUUCAUUUCUUAUUUCUCAUUUUCUUUUGUAAAAUGGACUUGUGCUUUUUUGUGGUUUUGGAAAGUAAAAAAUUACUGGGGCAUUUAUAAUUUUUUGUUGCAUUUGCUUUUCACUGCUAACCUAACACCUGAAAUCAUCCUGAAAAUAUAUCGAUCAUUUUGUGGCAAAAUACUUUGUUUUGGGAAAAUGUAGUAUUACCUUUUUGUAGUCAUUCUUAAAAGGCUAAGUUGCUGCCAUGUAACCAUUAUUUAUCAUCUCUCAACUCAUUUGUUUUUCUUUACUUGCAUGAGUUAUUUAUUUCAGUGAUACUGAUUUGAAUUUUUCCAAUGUCUUUGCCUUCUGAAUGCAGCUACAAACCUUUUCAAGAUGCUUCUUAAGUACAGGCCUGAGGACAAAGCUGCAAAGAAGGAGCGUCUUGUCAAAAGGGCUCAAGCUGAAGCCGAAGGAAAAACUCCCGAGACAAAGAAACCUAUUAUUGUGAAGUAUGGGCUUAAGCACAUCACUUAC